rnacentral:rRNA from 1 species
CCUACGUGCAGCAGCAGUGAGGAAUAUUGGUCAAUGGACGGAAGUCUGAACCAGCCAUGCCGCGUGCAGGAAGACGGCUCUAUGAGUUGUAAACCGCUUUUGUAUAAGGGUAAACCUAAAUACGUGUAUUCAGCUGAAAGUACUGUACGAAUAAGGAUCGGAUAACUCCGGUCCAGCAGCCGCGGUAAUACGGAGGCUCCAAGCGUUGUCCGGAUUUAUUGGGUUUAAAGGGUGCGUAGGCGGAUUGAUAAGUUAGAGGUGAAAUGUGCGGGCUCAACUCGGGAACUGACUCUAAUACUGUUGAUCUAGAGAGUAGAUGCGGUAGGCGGAAUGUAUGGUGUAGCAGUGAAAUGCGUAGAGAUCAUACAGAACACCGAGGGCGAAGGCAGCUUACCAAUCUAUAUCUGACGUUGAGGCACGAAAGCGUGGGGAGCAAACAGGAUUAGAUACCCCUGUAGUC